rnacentral:tRNA from 1 species
GGCCCUAUAGUCUAGUGGUUAAGACAUAAUGUUUUCAUCAUUAUAAACGAGGGUUCGAACCCCUCUGGGGCUA